AAGGCUAGGCUAGCCGGGCGACGGUUGUCCCGGUUUAAGCGUGUAGGGGGAGUGACUUGGUAAAUCCGGUUACUUAUCCAACCCUGAGGCGUGAUGACGAUGCACUACGGUGCAGAAGUAGUUGAUGCCAAGCUUCCAGGAAAAGCCUCUAAGCAUCAGGUAACAUCAAAUCGUACCCCAAACCGACACAGGUGGUCAGGUAGAGAAUACCAAGGCGCUUGAGAGAACUCGGGUGAAGGAACUAGGCAAAAUGGUGCCGUAACUUCGGGAGAAGGCACGCUGGCGCGUAGGUGAAGAGACUUGCUCUCGGAGCUGAAGCCAGUCGCAGAUACCAGCUGGCUGCAACUGUUUAAUAAAAACACAGCACUGUGCAAACACGAAAGUGGACGUAUACGGUGUGACGCCUGCCCGGUGCUGGAAGGUUAAUUGAUGGGGUCAGCCGCAAGGCGAAGCUCUUGAUCGAAGCCCCAGUAAACGGCGGCCGUAACUAUAACGGUCCUAAGGUAGCGAAAUUCCUUGUCGGGUAAGUUCCGACCUGCACGAAUGGCGUAAUGAUGGCCAGGCUGUCUCCACCCGAGACUCAGUGAAAUUGAACUCGCUGUGAAGAUGCAGUGUACCCGCGGCAAGACGGAAAGACCCCGUGAACCUUUACUAUAGCUUGACACUGAACAUUGAGCCUUGAUGUGUAGGAUAGGUGGGAGGCUUUGAAGCGUGGACGCCAGUCUGCGUGGAGCCAACCUUGAAAUACCACCCUUUAAUGUUUGAUGUUCUAACUCGGCCCCGUAAUCCGGGGUGAGGACAGUGUCUGGUGGGUAGUUUGACUGGGGCGGUCUCCUCCCAAAGAGUAACGGAGGAGCACGAAGGUUAGCUAAUCACGGUCGGACAUCGUGAGGUUAGUGCAAAGGCAUAAGCUAGCUUGACUGCGAGAGUGACGGCUCGAGCAGGUACGAAAGUAGGUCUUAGUGAUCCGGUGGUUCUGAAUGGAAGGGCCAUCGCUCAACGGAUAAAAGGUACUCCGGGGAUAACAGGCUGAUACCGCCCAAGAGUUCAUAUCGACGGCGGUGUUUGGCACCUCGAUGUCGGCUCAUCACAUCCUGGGGCUGAAGUAGGUCCCAAGGGUAUGGCUGUUCGCCAUUUAAAGUGGUACGCGAGCUGGGUUUAGAACGUCGUGAGACAGUUCGGUCCCUAUCUGCCGUGGGCGUUGGAAGAUUGAGAGGGGUUGCUCCUAGUACGAGAGGACCGGAGUGAACGCACCACUGGUGUUCGGGUUGUCAUGCCAAUGGCAUUGCCCGGUAGCUAAGUGCGGAAAAGAUAAGCGCUGAAAGCAUCUAAGCGCGAAACUUGCCUCGAGAUGAGUCUUCCCUGGGGACUUGAUCCCCCUGAAGGAACGUUUAAGACUAAGACGUUGAUAGGCUGGGUGUGUAAGUGCAGCGAUGCAUUGAGCUAACCAGUACUAAUGAUCCGUGAGACUUAACCUU
rnacentral:rRNA from 1 species